ACAUGUACCAGCAAGAAACUUUUGCGUUUUAAGAGUUCUAUUUGGAAUGUUACACAAAAAUAAGUUUCAAAACAUGUUUUGACGCGAUUACGCAUUUGUUGCUGCGUUUCGGGCCCGUCGCAGCCUUGGAACGCUGUUCAUGAGGUCCACUUCACGCACCAAAAUGGGUCACGCCUCCACGCACAAGGUCACUGCCAGCCGAGCUUGCUUACAAUAUUCCGAUUGAUGUGGUUACUGGCGAGCUACACUAAAAUUUAUUGCGUUGUUUGCUUAUAAGUCUUCUUUAACGACGCAUUCAACUUUUCCCGGAAUGGACUGUGAAAAUAUUUAAAUCUGUGACUUCCGGCGUGCCAUAGCACAUUGUUAAACAGUCUAUCGCGAUGUUUAAUUGUCCCGAUCCCAUGCAGCCGAUAUUUUGCACAAAGUUCAAGCAACAACCACUAGCAAUCACAAUAGCUCACCUCCAUAAAACCAGUGAAGCUUUUGAUCUGUAAAAAGGCCAAGUUUUGUCCUUAAAUGCUACACAAAAGCAAGUGAUAAUGAAAAAAACCUUGUUUUUUCAGUAAAGUCUGAGGAACACCUCUGUGAAAUGAAAUUUACUUACAAACCCGUGCUAUGCAAAACAGUGCUACAUGAAGCAGGCACUGGCCAUUUUGUUACUAUGCAUCGCUACGGACAGCAGGAGCGUACUGGGAGGUUCCUGACAAACUUGCGGGAAAUGUUCCUUGGGUCAGUUUGAGUUUAAGUAAUCAAAUGUAUGUCAUUGUGAAGUUCAAAUUAUGGAACUAAGGACAAAUACAACAUAUUCAAAGUGAAGCUUUUGCAGCGACUGAAGUUGAUGAAAGACUCUUGGGUUAGAAGCCGCGUCAGGUGGCUGAAUGGCGAAUAAACCAUAUCUUCUGCCUUCGUUGGUUAUGUUACAGAGUUCUUAAAUCUGCGUCCUGUUCGCUUAUGUGUCGGCACAUAUUUUAAUGGUAUGUUUUGGAUGCACAUAGCCAAUCUAUGGGUCUUCAGGCAUAUUCACAAACGACACCACUGCUGACGAGAAAUAAGGAAUAUGAGUAAUUAUCACUAGAUCUUCAAAUUACAGUUUCAAACUAUAAAUAUUAAAUUCCACCUAUUAAAAUACAGUACCACUUUUCCCAAGUAUGUCCCUACUGAUAAGGCUUCACACUAGUUCUUCCGAGUUAGAAUUCACUCGCUGUUAUCAUCAUUUCAAUAUAGCCCUGGAAAUGGAUGGCGCUAAAGCUCCGUGCCUAUACCUGGCCGCCGCAAGGCAAGGCUGUUUUGAUGCGAUUAAAGAUGGAUACAUUUUGUAGUGGGGUAUGGAUUGGGCUGGACCGUCUGUAGUUAGUGAGCUAUUUUGAAUAAAAAAUUGUUACUUUUUGCUUUUUGGUAGAUGCUAACUUUGGACUUGAAGGCUGUUGCUGCUGCCUGUCCUGUCUGAUGAACGACACUAGACUAGUAUCAGUACCAGUGUUUUUUAAUUGUCAGAAUUUAAUGUUCCUCUUAAUUGGCAGUUGUAGUGAUAAUUAUUCCCCACUUAAUGGUACCUGCACCUUCGUGGUGGUGGGGCUUGAGUUAUCUCAGUGACCCCAAGAGCUAUGCUGGCGGUAGCCAAAUUUGUCGAGGGGGAGAGGUCAGACUAAGACAGGUAACCUGGUCCCCCAGGUUGGGGGGGUUGGUCGCAAGGCUAACAACCUUGCACCGUAAAAAGGAAGAUGUUUCGAAACCUAGAUCUAAGCCUUGGACAGACGGACCUAACAGAGGACCGAAUGGAAGAGGAGAAUUGAGGAGGCCAUGGACCGAAUACGGACCGGAGAGCCAUAGAAGAAGAAGAAAUUAUGUACAGACACUUAGGUAAUAUAUGUAAUUUUUUUAUAAAAUAAUCUGUCAAUCAAAUAAUUUAGGAGAGUAAACGUAAGGCAUGCAUUAACAUUUAUAUUGAAUACAUUACGUAUUAUUGAAUUUCAGUGGGCACUGAUAGUAAUUUUUAAAUGAUGAAGCCCCAAUAAAGAAUGCAGUUAUACAGAA